UAGGGGAUAUUGCACAAUGGGCGAAAGCCUGAUGCAGCGACGCCGCGUGGGGGAUGAAGGCUUUCGGGUUGUAAACCUCUUUCGCUAUCGAACAAGGCCCGCCUAGGGUGGGUUGAGGGUAGGUGGAGAAGAAGCGCCGGCUAACUACGUGCCAGCAGCCGCGGUAAUACGUAGGGAGAGAGCGUUGUCCGGAAUUAUUGGGCGUAAAGGGCUUGUAGGCGGCUUGUUGCGCCUGCUGUGAAAACGCGGGGCUUAACUUCGCGCGUGCAGUGGGUACGGGCAGGCUUGAGUGUGGUAUGGGAGACUGGAAUUCCAUGUGUAGCGGUGGAAUGCGCAGAUAUCUGGAGGAGCACCGAUGGCGAAGGCAGGUCACUGGGCCAUUACUGACGCUGAGGAGCGAAAGCAUGGGUAGCGAACAGG
rnacentral:rRNA from 1 species